UGCGCCCCGGGCGUGGGCACAGAGGUGCCGAGGGCACAGAGGGAGCGCCCGGCGCUCACAGGGACGAGGUCCUGUUGUCCGCAACGUAGUGGACAGACCUGGGGGCCUUAUGCCAGAGAAGGGCCAACGCUUUGUGGUCUCACCGAAAAUCUUGAAAAACAGAAAGAAAGAAGAAGUCAAUCCACAGAAACCGAAAUAGAAAAGUGGAAUCGGCCAGGGCUGGGGUCAAAGACAUCGGGACAGACUCUGGAGAUGCACAAGCGUCCAGCAUACACAGUGUGAGUGAGGCCCUGGGCUCCGGACUGGCUUUGGGGCGUGAGAUGCGACCCUGGUCGUCCAGGCUCUGCUCCGGAGGGAGGCCAGGCAUCGACGUGGACGCUGCAGUUAAGCAGGAAGGACGCGGAGGAAGACGGAGGAGAACAAGGCACCGCUGCAGGGAGAAGAGGGGCCGCCAGCGCACCCACCAGGCGUGGGCCGAGGCUUCACCGUGAUGGCGGGUCACUGGACGAAGGCUUCCGGGAGCAGGUGUUUGAGCUGGGACAUGAGCAACGGCUGGCACUUUGCUAAAGAGGCGGCCACGUUCGUGGGAUCUCACAGUGCCCAGGCUUCCUGGAGGGCCGCACCGGGCACUGUGGCCACAGUCUCUGUUCUCGGAAGAGGUGAAGUAAAGGGCAGAUGCACACACAGGCCACCCCUUCUCUGGGCGUGAACUGCAAGCCACUUUAGCCGGGACGUCCAACCUGCAGCCCAUGGGCUAGCUAUGAAUGCGGCUCAACGU